rnacentral:rRNA from 1 species
UUUUGACUAUACAAAGGUAUUGAAAUAAGAUUUUAAUUGAAUGCUAAGAGAAUGGAAUUUCAGAAAAAAACUUUUUUCAAGUUAAAAAUUGAAAUUUUUUUAAUUUGUGCAGAAACAAUUAUUAAUAUUAAGGACAAGAAGACCCUAUGAAUUUAUAAAUUUUAUUUAAUAUGUAACUACUAUUGAAAAAAUUUUAGCUGGGGCGGCGGAAAAAUAUUUAAAACUUUUUUAAAAUAAAAUGACCCAUUAUUAAUGAUUAUAUGUUAAAUACUCUAGGGAUAACAGCGUU